ACUCCCUCCUGGGGGAUGCAUCAGAAAGCCUCUAGGAAGAGAAACAAGAUCGACUGAAGGACGUUCUUUCCAGAACAAGCAGGAUAAAAAGCAUCCCAUGGCCAGGCAGUGGUGGCGCACGCCUUUAAUCUCAGCAAUUGGGAGGCAGAGGCAGAGGAUUUCUGAGUUCGAGGACAGCCUGGUCUACAAAGCCCACCAGCCCAGGACCGAACAGCUCACAGUGGGCUGGGUUGCCCCACAUAAUCAGCAACUGUGAAUGCCGCAUAGACACGUGAGCACGGUCUUGCCAACCAAUCGGAUGGAAGAAUUCCUCAGUUGAGAUGCCCUCUUCCCAGGCCAUAGUCCAGGAGGAAACUUGACUGCAAAAGUUGAAUUAAGGACCUUGAAGACAUGAGCCCUGGAUACAGUCCAGUCUCCAAGCAUGGGUGUUCCCUUUUUUAACCUGUAAUGUCAAAAUACAGUUGGGUAGCACUGCAGCUUCCCGCGCACCCCUUUUGUGUUCCUGUCCUUUAAAAAUGCUAUACAAUCUCCCUUUAGGGACUUGGUUUAGGUCUCGAGCUAACCACCUCCCUGCGUGCUCAGAAAAUAAAGCUGUCAUUUGUAA